CGCCCCUCCCCCAGCCUCGCUGCUGCCUUGCAGUUUGAUCUCAGACUGCUGUGCUAGCAAUCAGUGAGACUCCGUGCUGUGCUAGCAAUCAGUGAGACUCCGUGGGCGUAGGACCCUCCGAGCCAGGUGCGGGAUAUAAUCUUGUGGUGCGCCGUUUUUUAAGCCGGUCAGAAAAGCGCAGUAUUUGGGUGGGAGCGACCCGAUUUUCCAGAUAGAUGAACCCGGUACCUCAGAUGGAAAUGCAGAAAUCACCCUUCUUCUGUGUCGCUCAGGCUGGGAGCUGUAGACCGGAGCUGUUCCUAUUCGGCCAUCUUGGCUCCUCCCCCACCCCCGUAUUAUCUUAAAAAUUAGAACUGAAUCUUCAGUCACCUUGAUUUUGGACUUCCCAGCCUCCAGGACUGUGAGAAAUAAA
rnacentral:lncRNA from 10 species